AAUCCAAUCCGGUUUGAGCUAGUUUUUGUUCCAAUGGAACAUUAACGUCUUGCUACGCCGUAAUAGAACGUACUGUUUGAAUCUUUUACUGAACAUUGAACGGUAUUUUCUUGCUUCUCUCUUUUGCAUUUCUCUAUUUUUUUUUAUACAAACGCAAGCCAGCCAUGCCUAAAAGGAGCAAAGCUAACAAUGACGCUGAGGCAGCGGAGCCCAAAAGGAGAUCGGAGAGAUUGGUAAAUAAACCCACAACCACAACCACAAAAGCAGAGCCAAAGCCAAAGGUAAAAUAAGCACCUGCUAAGCCCAAAAAAGCAAAGGAGGUAGAGAAAGCUAAGCCUGAGGAGAAGAAGGAGGACGUUCCCGCUGAGAAUGGAGAAGCCAAAGCCGAGGAAGGGGCACCAGCCACGGAAGAAGCUGAACAGAAAGAAGAAGAAGAGGAGGAGGCAGCAGAAUAGCAUCUCUCAAACCACAUCUUUUAUCAGUGCUCCCUGUACCUCUUUUUCUUGUACAAUUCAGGGGAAUAUUUUUAUCAACUAUUUUCUAAAAGCAGGUUUUUUAGUAGUUUGAUUGUAGAAACACAUUUUUUUAUGAAACAAAAAGUACAUUUGGAGACGGGGGAUAUCAUCGCAUCCCACAUUUUUUGCAUCUCCAAAACAAUUACGGUCAUUGUAAAUGUCAAUGGUUUUAUUUUCGAUGUUGGGGAGGGAAGGGACAGGUUGCUGCAUUAAGAACAAUGCAAGCCCAUCGUUUACAGGAGUCUGAAACAACUGAGAGAGCUUGCCUGAGAGACUAACAUUCCAUAGGCUAUAUGAGGGACGGUAUAUGUAACCUGUAUUGUAGAGGGUGGGGAGGAAUUACUCAAGGGGAAACACAUUUGUUUUAUUGUUUAUAAUGAGGACAAAAAGUGUUUUAGAAUGUUUGUAAGCUGUGUUCCAUAUGUUAAAUCUUGUACUCAUGCAGUUUUUUCUUAACCAUUCUGCAAAAUAAACCUAUUCCCUAGUACUGGAGUUCUCCCUAUAUCAGGCCUGUGCAUUGCGUGUAUUAGUUUUGUCUCCGUUCUGUGAUAGCAUCGCAAUAAAUUUGUAUAGCUGCUGUGAAAAGGGUUUUCAAACUUUCUAUAUACAGUGUGUAACGGUACAUUAUGAGGAUGGUUAAAAAAAAAUUCUAUAUGUGUUUUUAGCCAAGAUAAUGACGUACAUAACAGUGUGAAACAUACCGUGAGUUCCUCAGAUUCCAUGAGACAAACUGUACAUCCACCUGACCUGUCAGAUACACAUACCAGCAGUAGCAAUAUUCAUGUGGGUUUUUAGGUAUAAAGUACAAGUGUACAGUUUUUCCUUUGUUUAUAGAUGUUUCUCUGUGUAAUGAUUGGUAUGAACAAAACAAUAAAAUAUUGUAAUUGUU